AUCCUAGUAGUGUAAUAGAUAGCGCGUGGGACUUCUAAUCCGAAGGUCGUGGGUUCGGAUCCCACCUGGGAUG